UACGGGGGGGGCAAGCGUUGUUCGGAAUUACUGGGCGUAAAGGGCUCGUAGGCGGCCAACUAAGUCAUACGUGAAAUCCCUCGGCUUAACCGGGGAACUGCGUCUGAUACUGGAUGGCUUGAGUUCGGGAGAGGGAUGCGGAAUUCCAGGUGUAGCGGUGAAAUGCGUAGAUAUCUGGAGGAACACCGGUGGCGAAGGCGACAUCCUGGACCGGUAUUGACGCUGAGGCG
rnacentral:rRNA from 1 species